rnacentral:rRNA from 1 species
GAUGAACGCUGGCGGCGUGCCUAACACAUGCAAGUCGAGCGAUUUACUUCGGUAAAGAGCGGCGGACGGGUGAGUAACGCGUGGGUAACCUGCCUCAUACACAUGGAUAACAUACCGAAAGGUAUGCUAAUACAGGAUAAUAUAAGAGAUUCACAUGGAUUCUUUAUCAAAGCUCCGGCGGUAUGAGAUGGACCCGCGUCUGAUUAGCUAGUUGGUAAGGUAAUGGCUUACCAAGGCGACGGUCAGUAGCCGACCUGAGAGGGUGAUCGGCCACAUUGGAACUGAGACACGGUCCAAACUCCUACGGGAGGCAGCAGUGGGGAAUAUUGCACAAUGGGCGAAAGCCUGAUGCAGCAACGCCGCGUGAGUGAUGAAGGCCUUCGGGUCGUAAAACUCUGUCCUCAAGGAAGAUAAUGACGGUACUUGAGGAGGAAGCCCCGGCUAACUACGUGCCAGCCGCCGCAGUAA